AUUGAACGCUGGCGGCAGGCCUAACACAUGCAAGUCGAGCGAGCGGCGGACGGGUGAGUAACGCGUGAGUAACCUGCCUUAGAGAAGGGGAUAGCCUUUGGAAACGAAGAAUAAUACCCUAUGCUCUAAGAUGGACUUGCGUCUGAUUAGCUAGUUGGUGAGAUAAUAGCUCACCAAGGCAACGAUCAGUAGCCGGCUUGGGAGAGUGUACGGCCACAUUGGGACGGAGACAAGGCCCAGACUCGACGGGAGGCAGCAGUGGGGAAGUAUGCACAAUGGGGGAAACCCUGAGGCAGCGACGCCGCGUGAUUUAGAAGGCCUUCGGGUUGUAAAAAUCUUUUCUAUGGGAAGCAGUACCAUAGGAAUAAGGACCGGCUAAUUACGUGCCAGCAGCCGCGGUAAUAC
rnacentral:rRNA from 1 species